UGCCGCGUGUGUGAAGAAGGCUCUAGGGUUGUAAAGCACUUUCNGUANGGAGGAAAUGUUAACGGUUAAUAACCGUUAGCUUUGACGUUACCUACAGAAGAAGCACCGGCAAACUCCGUGCCAGCAGCCGCGGUAAU
rnacentral:rRNA from 1 species